UGUUUAAAGGGACGGAUUGAAGCUGAAGGUGUUAUCAUCAAGAAGCCGACCACGAUGAGUGGGGCUAGAUUGUGUUCGAUAUUGGGCGAAUUAGGGUACGGAGGUCUCCAAUCUUGAAUGCAUUUGCUCCAGCUUUCGAACUCUCGGUAUGAACAGUUUACAUAUAAUGUAAACGACAUGUCUACGACUGUAAAUAUGUGAUAAUGAUUCUCGACUGAAGCAAGCAUGGUUUGUAUUUCGCAUCCAUGAUUCAAUUCAUUGUAGUUUGAUCGUAUUUGGGAUGUGUGUUUGGCCAAUUUGAUGUUUGUAAGCGUUCUCGUCUUUCUUCUUCGCACCAUUUUAUUUUUAUUUUUAUGUGAAUUGGUGACGUUCAUAUGUAAAUGAUUACAAUUUAGUGUUGAUUGAGUAACUGAUCUAUUGAUUUACGUGUUUAGCUU
rnacentral:lncRNA from 1 species